GAACAGUACAUGUGAUAACUGCAUCGGAAGCCACAGCCUCAGGCCUGGCUGGAAGAGCAUAACUGUCACGCCCCAAACCUGGAAGCGAGACAGGUACUCAAUGCCUCACCUAUCCUUGCGUACCAACUUGCGACUAAGGAACUCUGCACAUGUGAUUUCAUACUUUGGACAUGGGCCACAUUGCAAGACAACUGCGAAUGCUGACUAAAUAUCAAUAUAAAACUUGGCCGACAAGGCCGUCAUAUUUAUUACAGCUGACAAACCAACCAAAUAUACAUACAAGGCCUGAAAGCCCAACAUACUGCACUAACUGACAAGAUAUAUCUACAAGCCUCUACUAAUGGAUACACUGUGAUCGGAAUGGCCCUCCGACCUAUUCAUGACAUAUGUACAUAUAUAUAUACAAUAUAUACAUAAGGCUCUAGACCCGGAAACUCCGAAAGACAUAGAUCUUACCGAUCAAGCUGAACUCGGGCAACACUUAUUGAAGAGGCCUACUCAUCUGUCUGUCCGACCUGCACGCAUGAAAUGCAUCGCCCCCAGAAAAAGGGACGUCAGUACGAAAUAAUGUACUGAGUAUGUAAGGCAAUAUACUGAAAGCUGAAACUGAACUCAUAAUAUAAUAACUGCAAGUAGCUAGAAGUCAAAGAUAAUCUGAAGAUAUGCUUACCUGCUGAUACUGACUCAACUCUCUCAAUAUAGUAAGUAAAAUAGUUGUCCAACCCUAUAAGUCUCGGUAUACAUAUAUAUAUCUGCUCUGCCGUAGUAGGCUCGCUCAUAAGCGCUCGGCCAUACUAGGCUAUGUAUAUCGACCAACUGGGCUCGCUCAUAUGCGCUCGGCCACAGUAGGAUC
rnacentral:lncRNA from 1 species